UGAUUGCUUUGUCGUGGUGUACAACACAGUAUUGAUCGUGAAAUUUUGUGUCAUGGUCUGGACUGUGUUUACUUGGCAACACUUUUUCUUUGAAAUUUGUGAACUAUGUUGAAAUAAGGAUUUUAGUGAUUUGAUAAAUUGGACGUGCUUCAUUUGUAUGAAAAUAUUGAUCUGCUAUGAAUUGUUUUAUUUUAUUUCAUAAUGAUUUCCAAUGAAUAUCAGUUGUGUGCCACUGAGUAAAAAUUACUCAGCGAUAGCUUUUAUUUGUUGUCGCAGAUAAGGAAAAAGAUAAAGCAACAGAGUGAGCUGCUACAGUGAUAGGAGAGCAUUGUUGGAGAUUUUGUACAGGUAUAUUAAUUAUACCCUUGUAAUUUAGUUUGAUGUAAAUAUUUUUAUUCAUAUGUAUCUUUUGAAUUGGUUGAGUAGUUGUACAGUCAAGUUGUAAUGUUAUUGCUUUCGUUUUCUUUUCUGUAAAAUUAUGACUUUUGUAUGUAUAUAUUUUUUAAUGAAAUGAAAUUUAUGUUAUUUGAAAAUGUGUUGAAUUGAGAAUUGGUGAACAUUGAGAUUAAUUUGAAACUGUGUUGAAAAUUGUGUUGAGUUAAGACUUGAUGAAAUUAUGAUUGAGGAAAAUAUAUUGAAAAUGUCUUCUUUUUAGGUUUUUGAAGAACUGUUUUCUCAAAAUACAGUCGGCAUUCUGUCGAAAUUUUUAUAAAAAUUGCGGAGAUUUUAGAUAAAUCAAUAAUUUAAUUUUGAUAUGAAUUCCAAUUAAAGGAUUUUUAAUAAUUAAGAAAUAUGACCCACCAUUUUAAAUUGAAAGGAAAAGGGUUUAAAACAGUGUUAUCAAAGGCGAGCAAGGAGCCCAGGCGAGCAAGGCGCCAGGUGAGACGAGGCGCCCCUCUGUCGCCUCAA
rnacentral:misc_RNA from 1 species